UUCUGGCUCAGGAUGAACGCUGGCGGCGUGCUUAACACAUGCAAGUCGAACGAGUUUAUAUAGACUGGAGUUUCGGAUGGAAGGAAAUAUACGCGAGUGGCGGACGGGUGAGUAACGCGUGGGGAACCUGCCUCAUUCAGGGGGAUACCAGUUGGAAACGACUGUUAAUACCGCAUAAGCGCACGGUGCCGCAUGGCAGAGUGUGAAAAACUGAGGUGGAAUGAGAUGGCCCCGCGUCUGAUUAGCCAGUUGGUGAGGUAACGGCCCACCAAAGCGACGAUCAGUAGCCGGCCUGAGAGGGUGAACGGCCACAUUGGGACUGAGACACGGCCCAAACUCCUACGGGAGGCAGCAGUGGGGAAUAUUGCACAAUGGGGGAAACCCUGAUGCAGCCGACGCCGCGUGAGUGAAGAAGUAUUUCGGUAUGUAAAGCUCUAUCAGCAGGGAAGAAGAUGACGGUACCUGCACAAGAAGCCCCGGCUAACUACGUGCCAGCAGCCGC
rnacentral:rRNA from 1 species